rnacentral:rRNA from 1 species
CGAGCACGCGCGUGUGGCAUAUCAAUAAGCGGAGGAAAAGAAACUAACAAGGAUUCCCUUAGUAACGGCGAGUGAAGCGGGAAGAGCUCAAAUUUGAAAUCUUCAAGGUUCUACCUUGACGAAUUGUAGUUUAUAGAAGUGUUUUCUGUUAGUGGAGUGGCAAAAGUUCUUUGGAAUAGGACAUCAUAGAGGGUGAGAAUCCCGUACUUGGUCAUUCCUCCUAGCGUUGUGAUACACUUUCAACGAGUCGGAUUGUUUGGGAAUGCAGUCCAAAAUGGGUGGUAAAUUUCAUCUAAAGCUAAAUAUUGGCGAGAGACCGAUAGCGAACAAGUACCGUGAGGGAAAGAUGAAAAGAACUUUGAAAAGAGAGUUAAACAGUACGUGAAAUUGUCAAAAGGGAAGCGUUUGACACCAGUGUUGUCUUUCCGAAAAUCAAUUACGAAUGUUUUAUUUUUGAGGAGUUAUGACUUCAUCGGCUUGCUCCUUUCUUUAUGAAACUUUCUUAAUGCACUUUUCGGUUAACAAGUCAACAUCAAUUUCUUUUGUUGUAAAAGGGUAUGAGGAAGGUGGCUUUCUUCUCGGAGAAAGUGUUUAUAGCCUUGUGCCUCUGCAAUCGGAGAGAUUGAGGUCUGCAGCGUAGAUCCUUCGGGGUUAGAUACAUUUGUGCUAAGUUAUAGCUUUUCAUAGACAACUUGUUGACUAUGUUUAGUCUUGUAGCUUACUCGCUUACUGCUAUUUUACCUACGCUUAGGAUGUUGAGCGCAUGUCUCUCUCU